GACGAACGCUGGCGGCGUGCUUAACACAUGCAAGUCGAACGGUAAGGCCCUUCGGGGUACACGAGUGGCGAACGGGUGAGUAACACGUGGGUGAUCUGCCCUGCACUUCGGGAUAAGCCUGGGAAACUGGGUCUAAUACCGGAUAGGACCACUGCCUGCAUGGGUGGUGGUGGAAAGCUUUUGCGGUCUGGGAUGGGCCCGCGGCCUAUCAGCUUGUUGGUGAGGUAACGGCUCACCAAGGCGACGACGGGUAGCCGGCCUGAGAGGGCGACCGGCCACACUGGGACUGAGACACGGCCCAGACUCCUACGGGAGGCAGCAGUGGGGAAUAUUGCGCAAUGGGCGAAAGCCUGACGCAGCAACGCCGCGUGAGGGAUGGCGGCCUUCGGGUUGUAAACCUCUUUCAGCAGGGAAGAAGCGAAAGUGACGGUACCUGCAGAAGAAGCACCGGCUAACUACGUGCCAGCCGCCGCCGUAA
rnacentral:rRNA from 1 species